CAUGUUUUGUUUAUUCAAUGUGGCUCUAAUCCUAUAGCCAGCGCAUACAUAAUCAUAAAUUCAGCCACCGCAUCAGCUGCUAUCUAGAAUUUUCUCUCAGCCAUUGUCUUGUACUUCUCUCUUUUGUUGUUCUUCCCUUUCAAUCUUAGUUUGGUUGUGUUCUUCCACUCAAUUUUUCUGUUUCAUUUUAUUGUUUUAGUCUAAUUUGGUUUCUAUCUGUCAACUUGUAUUUUUUUUUAGAGAUAUGGUAAUAACAAUAUGCCGAUGCCGAAAGCAAGGGCGGUGGAGUCAUGGAUGAUGGUGAAAGGAUAUACUCAAUAAGUUGCCGCCAACAGGUAAUGUUUUGUACUCCAUACGUAGAACUGUGUAGCAGGCUACUUCGAUUCUGUUUAAUCUACGGUGUUUGAUUAUUUUUGGGUUCUGGUGAGUAUUUGCCCCUUCCUUAUUUUGUUCUUGAUAAGGAAUUUAAUGGAUGUGUUAGCAAGAGUUGUUCAAUCUGAUAGGUGCAAUGAACUCAUUCGUGAUAUGUUUGUUAGAUUGCGUAUGAUGGUAUUUUCAUCUUCGAGAAUGCUUGCUCAUCUUUUUGACAGCUCAUUGGUAGAGGAAAUAACAGAGAACUGCUAAAAUAUAUUCUAAUAAUUCAUAUCUUUAAUAGAGGAAAUGUGUAAUUUUCUGGACAAUUAUUGUAUAUAGUAAAGUGAUAACUAUAUUCAUGCCACCUCUCCAUCAUAUAGUUGUUUGUUAUAAACUUCCAAAGCAGAGUUGUACCAUUGUAUGAAAGAGGUGAAACCAGAAAUUAACAUGUCAACAAAUUGCCAUUUAUGCUUAGAAGAAGGAGGCAUAUCUUAUAACAUCAGUAAAGCAUUUUCUUUUUGUAGUUAUGGUGAAGAAUACUUUGGCAAUAUUAUUACAAGGUUAAGCUUGAGUUUGUCUAAAGAGUUUUGUAUAGUAUGCCCUCAGUUGCUUUUCGCUAAUGCAGGUUGGAGGUUGCUCAUUUAGUCAUAUUAUUCGAUGUACAGACUUUUUCUUUUCAGCUCACAACUUUUCUAUAUAGAGUAUUUGUUGAUGUCACUCAUGAGAUGAAUAACGAAGAUGGAAUAAUACAACCUUUCAUCUCUCUGUUCUGAGGGAUAGAUGUGUGGAUCACUGGGAUCUGACACAACCAAAUCAAAGUCAAAACUUUAGAGUCUCGCACUGAUUUGAUACUCUUCAGGUUAAUUAUUCUUCAUCCUUUUAGCAACAUCUUCUGAAACAUGCUUUCCUUUUUCUCCCCGUUAAAUCAUUUUAAAUUUAGGAUUUCAUGGUUUCUGAGUUUGAAAUUAGUCCUCAAAGGGGUUUCUGGGAGAAAAUCCUCAAACUGCAAACUGUGAGCGUUCUUGGAGUUUCAGACGGCGGAAUCGGAAUAUACUGAGGUAUAACCCCUUCUACUUCUCUCUUUUGUAUAAAGGAUUUCGGUAUUUUUGGUUCCACCAUUUUAAUUUAUUGUUAAGUCGAAGGCUGAUUAUCUUGUAAUUUAGAAAUAUAACCUCCUUGAAAUUUUUAUUUUGUUUCUGAGGUCGGUAUGACACGUGGAAAUUUUACAAUGCUAAUCAAAAUUUUUUGAGGUAUAACUCCUUUGAAAUUUGCCUACGUGUACUCUUUUUUCCUCUUAUUCUCUGACUUUGUUCUUUUUCUUCUUUUAGGGGUUGUAUGGUAGCUGGUUAGAGUUAUGCAGGUAUUAGUAAUAUCGAAAUUAGUUAAGAGGGAAUCUAUACAGAUCAUAGUAGGAAACGAAACGACUGUAUCUGGGAUCAGUUUUAAUUUUAGUAAAAAACGUAAAAAAACUAGAAAAGGCCUAUUUUGUUCAGGAAAACUAGCGACUCACCGUAUCCUUCUUGAUGCUCAUCUAUGAUACAAUUUUUUGCACUUACAUUUAUUAUCCGAUUUUGCAUUACUUGCUUUAGCAGUUUGAUACUCAAAAAAAAAAAAAAAGGGAGAGAAUGUUAAGCUGCUCAAUCAGCUAUCUGUUCAGAUAUCAACCUUUUGAGUUUUUGCGUAAACUGAAUUUCAUGGCUGUUGAAGGAAAUUUCAAUUGGUGUUAAAACUUACAAGUUCAGGUAUACUCCUCUUAAAUUUUUGCCUGAAUCUUCUGUUUCUUUUUCCCUAUCAUCUUCUGUUCUUUUUUUUUUUUUUUUUUUUGCUUUUCAAUUUCUGUUCAGGUUUUUCAUUUUUGUGGCUGAAUAUCAUGGCUUUUGAAGGAAAGACUAAACUUUUAGGUGAAACUGAUUAUUGUUGUAAUCCUAUCUGACAUAUGAAGAAACAAGGGGUUAUCAAGAUGUUUUAGAGAGUAUUUUCAGAUAUAAUUCUGAGUUUUUGUUGUGGAUCAGUAUUUAAAAUCUCCUUAUGAUUUGUGAUUCAGUUUAGCUCAUAAUUAUUGUGUGUGUUUUUUCUUUCAUUUCCUCCGUAGCUCUUCAUCUCUGGAGAAGCUGGAAUUAAGCAAUACAUAACUUUGCGGGAGGAAAGUACUUGACUAUGUUGAAGUUUCAACUUUGUGCAAGUCCUAAAAUAGAAGAAAAGAGCAAUAUUGAGAAGUGUCAAGCUGGAGUAGAGAUAUCAACACGGACGCAGAGUGAGGCUAGCAACGAAUACCAACUCUUUGGAGCUUGUCUUAAGUGCUGGAUUGGAGAUUGAUGCAUUUAGUAAUUGUAUUGCUUAGUCAUCUUUGAAGACCAAAACAAUUCAAUGACUCGCCAUGAUUUUAAUGAAUUAUUUGGUUACGUAGAAUCAAUAUAUUUAAUGAUUCAUUAUGUUGGCCCAUGCGCAGCACGGGCAACACCUAUCUAGUCUACUACAUAGAAGCACGGGUUUGGAUGCAAGAUCGUCGACCAAGGGCAUAAACGUAAUUUCACUCGCAUCUAAAAGUGCUCUGCCUCACGUGCUCAAUGGCUGCCACGCAUAUGUAUCAACACACAUUGGGAGAAGUAGAAGAAAUCAAUUGUAAAUUUAAAUGUGGACCACAUUUUGUUACUUAUCUUCCAAAGAUAUCUUUUUCUUCUUCUUUUUUUCUUUUUCUGUUUAGUUGAAGAAUCGGAUCAGUAAACUAUAAGUGGCAAAAGUUGCAUACCAUACAAUUUCUUUUCUUUUCUAAAAUUAGCUUGAGAAAUAAUUAAUAUUGUUGUAUCA